GCCUGCCUAGGCUCCCCAAGACCCAGAGCUGGCUGCUGCAGGAAGUCCUAGAUCACAACUCUGCCGUUCCUCUUCCCAGGUCUUGCUUUUAACUACUGGACCCAACACAAAGCCUCCCUUGCAGGCUUACCAGAGCAUGAAAACGAAAUGGCCACCUCCUGUAACAAGAAAACUUCUAGAAGAGGAAGGAGACAUCAAUACAUUCACAAAACUUUCAACUCGAAAUCUGUCUUGCCAAUAAGUGUGCAGGGAUAAAGGUAAAGCAGAUAUUGAGGGACCAACCAGUCAAUGACUGACACAAAGUGAGAUCUGUCUCAUGUGACAGACACAACCUCUGACGCUAUUUAUGAUAUUCUUUCUGAUUUACUUGCAGACAGAAAAGUAGCACACCUGUCUCCAGAGGCUUCACUCAGCAGCUGAAAGCCACAGCCAAUCCUCAGAUGGAGCUCGGGAAGUCUUGUGGAAGAGUGGUGGGAGAGUGACAAGGAAACUGGUUGGGAUAAAACACUACAAGAAGUCCCCUACCGUCAGAUACCUUGGACCAUGGAGUAUGCUAGAGCCUGUGCAACCAACCCCAGAGCCAGAUCUUCAGGAAACAUCUCAACGAAGAACAAGAGAGGCUGAAGAAGAAUGGGGAAGGGUUUGAUCCCUGAAGUUCCUCAGUGUCCACUAGCACAGCACUUGUCCUUGGGAGAUGACAUCUUUCACUCUUCCUGACUGUUGCACCAAUCAGAAUUACAAGCUCUGUGGAUGAACCUGUAAAAGAGGACAGUUGCUCUUGGGCCAAUAUGGAGGUUCCUGACCUCUCAGCAAGCUCACUGCUGACUUUUGAGGUCUCUGGAGGGUGAGCAAAAUGAAGACACACAGAGUAGCCUCAGGUUGAGUCAGCCAGGCCCAGGGGGCUCAGUGGUGUCUCUCAGAUUCCCAGGCCCUCCCUGAGAUUGAA
rnacentral:sRNA from 1 species